GUGCUGGGUGCUGCGUGCUGGGUGCUGCGUGCUGGGUGCUGGGUGCUGGGUGCUGCAUGCUGUGUGCUUCGUGCUGGGUGCUGGGUGCUGCGUGCUGGGUGCUGCGUGCUGGGUGCUGCUGCAUGCUGGGUGCUGGGUGCUGCUGCGUGCUGGGUGCUGUGUGCUGCUGCAUGCUGCGUGGGUGCUGGGUGCUGUGUGCUUCGUGCUGGGUGCUGGGUGCUGCUGGGUGCUGGGUGCUGCAUGCUGGGUGCUGCGUGCUGCGUGCUGGGUGCUGCGUGCUGGGUGCUGCUGCAUGCUGGGUGCUGGGUGCUGCUGCAUGCUAUGUGCUGCGUGCUGGGUGCUGCAUGCUGCUGUGUGCUGCGUGCUGCGUGCUGCACAUCCCCACCAUGCCCACGUACCCAUCCCCACCAUGGCCAUGGAACCAUCACGGUUGGAAAAGUCCUCCAAGACCCCCAAGUCCAAUCCCCCCAUCACCGCUGUGCCCAUGGAACCAUCCAGGUUGGGGAAGUCCUCCAAGACCCCCACCAUGCCCAACCCCAACCCAUCCCCACCAUGCCCACAGAACCAUCCAGGUUGGGAUGGUCCUCCAAGACCCCCAAGUCUGACCCCGAAGUCCGACACCCUUCCANCACCAUGCCCACAGAACCAUCCAGGUUGGGAUGGUCCUCCAAGACCCCCAAGUCUGACCCCGAAGUCCGACACCCUUCCAUUGCUGCCAUGCCCACGGAACCAUCCAGGUUGGAAAGGUCCUCCAAGACCCUCACCAUGCCCAUAGAACCAUCACGGUUGGAAAGGUCCUUCAAGACCCCCAAGUCCAACCCCCUUCCAUCCCCACCAUGGCCAUGGAACCAUCCAGGUUGGGAAGGUCCUCCAAGACCCCCAAGUCUGACCCCAGCCCAUCCCCACUGUGCCCAUAGAACCAUCCAGGUUGGAAAGGUCCUCCAAGACCCCCAAGUCCAACCCCCUCCCAUCCCCACCGUGCCCAUAAAACCAUCCAGGUGGGGAAGGUCCUCCAAGACCCCCACCAUGCCCAACCCCAACCCAUCCCCACCAUGGCCACAGAACCAUCAAGGUUGGGAAGGUCCUCCAAGACCCCCAAGUCCAACCCCCUUCCAUCCCCACCAUGGCCACAGAACCAUCCAGGUUGGAAAGGUCCUUCAAGACCCCCAAGUGUGACCCCUCCCAUCACCGCUGUGCCCACAGAACCAUCCAGGUGGGGAAGGUCCUCCAAGACCCCCAAGUCCAACCCCCUCCCAUUGCUGCCGUGCCCAUAGAACCAUCCAGGUUGGAAAGAUCCUCCAAGACCCCCAAGUCUGACCCCAACCCAUCGCCUCCGUGCCCACAGAACCAUCCAGGUUGGGAAGGUCCUCCAAGACCCCCAAGUCCAACCCCCUCCCAUCCCCACCGUGCCCAUAGAACCAUCCAGGUUGGAAAGAUCCUCCAACACCCCCAAGUCCAACCUCCUCCCAUCCCCACCGUGCCCAUA
rnacentral:lncRNA from 1 species